rnacentral:rRNA from 1 species
AGUGAACGCUGGCGGUAGGCCUAACACAUGCAAGUCGAACGGCAGCACAGUAAGAGCUUGCUCUUACGGGUGGCGAGUGGCGGACGGGUGAGGAAUACAUCGGAAUCUACUUUUUCGUGGGGGAUAACGUAGGGAAACUUACGCUAAUACCGCAUACGACCUACGGGUGAAAGCAGGGGAUCUUCGGACCUUGCGCAAUUGAAUGAGCUGAUGUCGGAUUAGCUAGUUGGCGGGGUAAAGGCCCACCAAGGCGACGAUCCGUAGCUGGUCUGAGAGGAUGAUCAGCCACACUGGAACUGAGACACGGUCCAGACUCCUACGGGAGGCAGCAGUGGGGAAUAUUGGACAAUGGGCGCAAGCCUGAUCCAGCCAUGCCGCGUGGGUGAAGAAGGCCUUCGGGUUGUAAAGCCCUUUUGUUGGGAAAGAAAAGCAGCAGGUUAAUACCCCGCUGUUCUGACGGUACCCAAAGAAUAAGCACCGGCUAACUUCGUG